GAUGAACGCUGGCGGCGUGCCUAAUACAUGCAAGUCGAGCGAACAGAUAAGGAGCUUGCUCCUUUGAAGUUAGCGGCGGACGGGUGAGUAACACGUGGGUAACCUACCUAUAAGACUGGGAUAACUUCGGGAAACCGGAGCUAAUACCGGAUAACAUUUAGAACCGCAUGGUUCAAAAGUGAAAGAUGGUUUUGCUAUCACUUAUAGAUGGACCCGCGCCGUAUUAGCUAGUUGGUAAGGUAACGGCUUACCAAGGCGACGAUACGUAGCCGACCUGAGAGGGUGAUCGGCCACACUGGAACUGAGACACGGUCCAGACUCCUACGGGAGGCAGCAGUAGGGAAUCUUCCGCAAUGGGCGAAAGCCUGACGGAGCAACGCCGCGUGAGUGAUGAAGGGUUUCGGCUCGUAAAACUCUGUUAUUAGGGAAGAACAAAUGUGUAAGUAACUGUGCACAUCUUGACGGUACCUAAUCAGAAAGCCACGGCUAACUACGUG
rnacentral:rRNA from 1 species